UCUUAACUUAUGUCUUAAGCAGUGUACAAGGCAAGUUCUUUGGGUCUUAAGCAAUUCUUUUCGCGGUAGUACAAGGUCUUCCUCAAUUCUUGUAACAUCCCUUAAUCGUCCAUAAUCCUUAUAAUCAGCCUGGGUGGCCGUUGGUUCUUAAUUUAUGUCUUAAGCAGUGUACAAGGCAGGUUCUUUGGGACUCUAGCUCUUCUUUUCUCGGUAUUACAAGGUCUUCCUUAAUCCUUGUAACAUCCCUUGGUCGUCCAUAAUCCUUAUAAUCAGCCCUGGUGGCCGUUAGUUCUUAACUUAUGUCUUAAGGUAUGUACAACGCAGGUUCUUUGGGUCUUAAGCUCUUCUUUUCUCGGUAUUACAAGGUCUUUCUUAAUCCUUGUAACAUCCCUUGGUCGUCCAUAAUCCUUAUAAUCAGCCCUUGUGGCCGUUAAUUCUUAACUUCUGUCUUAAGGCGUGUACAAGGCGGGUUCUUUGGGUUUUAAGCUCUUCUUUUCUCGGUAUUACAAGGUCUUCCUUAAUCCUUGUAACAUCCCUUGGUCGUCCAUAAUCCUCAUAAUCAGCUCUUGUAGCCGUUAGUUCUUAACUUAUGUCUUAAAGCGUGUACAAGGCAGGUUCUUUGGGUCUUAAGCUCUUCUUUUCUCGGUAUUACAAGGUCUUCCGUAAUCCUUGUAACAUCUCUUAGUCGUCGUCCAUAAUCCUUAUAAUCAGCCUUGGUGGCCGUUAGUUCUUAACUUAUGUCUUAAGUAGUGUACAAGGCAGGUUCUUUGGGUCUUAUGCUCUUCUUUUCUCGGUAUUGCAAGAUCUUCCUUAAUCCUUGUAACAUCCCUUGGUCAUCCAUAAUCCUUAUAAUCAGCCCUGGUGGCCGUUAGUCCUUAACUUAUGUCUUAUGCAGUGUACAAGGCAGGUUCUUUGGGUCGUCCAUAAUCCUUAUAAUCAGCCCUGGUGGCCGUUAGUCCUUAACUUAUGUCUUAUGCAGUGUACAAGGCAGGUUCUUUGGGUCUUAAGCUCUUCUUUUCUCGGUAUUACAAGUUCUUCCUUAAUCCUUGUAACAUCCCAUGGUCGUCCAUAAUCCUUAUAAUCAGCCCUGGUGGCCGUUAGUUCUUAACUUAUGUCUUAAGCAGUGUACAAGGCAUGUUCUUUGGGUCUUAAGCUCUUCUUUUCUCGGUAUUACAAGGUCUUUCUUAAUCCUUGUAACAUCCCUUGGUCGUCCAUAAUCCUUAUAGUCAGCCCUAGUGGCCUUUGUUCUUAACUUAUGUCCUAAGGCGUGUACAAGGGAGGGUUUUUGGGUCUUAAGCUCUUCUUUUCUCGGUAUUACAAGGUCUUCCUUAAUCCUUAUAACAUCCCUUGGUCGUUCAUAAUCCUUAUAAUUAAGUCCUUGUCGCCGUUAGUUCUUAACAAGUCUUAAGGCAUGUACUGGUUCCAAGAUUUGUUCCUUUCGAUUGUCUUCUCAACAUCCUUUGUUGAGAUUAUCAUGUCUUAUAUUAGAUGUAUUUAUUCCUUUCUGUAUAACAUGGGUUCUUUUGGUCUUAAGUUCUUCUUUUCUUGAUAUUAAAGUCUUUCCUUAAUCCUUGUAACUACCGUUGGCCUUUCAUAAUCCUUACAAUUUGCCCUUGUAGCCUUUAGUUCUUAUCUUAUUCCCUAAGACAUUUUCUCGUUCCGGCAUUUGUUCAUUUUAACUGUCUUCUCAACAUCCUUGUUGAAAUUGACAAGUCUUAGGUUGUUUGUGUCUUCUCAACAUCCUUUGUUGAAAUUGAUAAGUCUUAGGUUGUUUGGGUUUUAAGUUCUUUUGUCGGUAUUACUAGGCUUUUCUUAAUCCUUGUAACUACUCUUGGCUUUCCAUAAUCCUUAUAAUCAUACCUUUAGUUCUUAACUUAAUCUCG